rnacentral:lncRNA from 1 species
GUUAUACGUCACACCAGGCGAAGAAGAAGCAAGCUUUAAAGGAAACCUAGCCAGGGAACUGAGGCGAAAAGAGUGUAUCUACAGAACGAUUUGCUUUUACAAGCCCAUGUGAGAAAGACGAAAGAGUAGGACAAGGAGAUCCGGACUCUAGUUCUGGCUCUGUGUUUCCAGAUCUGUGCGAGCAUGGACAGUAUCAUCUUCCUGGAUCUGGCCACACUGCUGCUGAAUCAAUGUGGGGAACUGUGGACCUGUUGGUGCAAUGAAUUUGAGAAGCUUCUGUGCUGCAGAGCUCCAAGGCUGGUCCUGGUAGACUGGUGCUACCCCAAGGAUGUCCCAUCUUGAAUGCACGUAUAUUCUGGAGCAAGACUUCUAAGGAAGCUACAGAAAACAGUGAGCCUGAGAGAAUCACAGAGUCAAUGAACAAAUGUUUAAACAGUCACUUAAUGGCUACUAAACUGAUAGAAACUAACAACCAGUUGUCUACAGUGUUUCCUAAUUUGGGCUGAUCAGAUUCAUCUGUGAAACUUAAAAAAUACAAAAAUAUUAAAGGAAGGAAUUCUUAUGGUGACCAAAGUAUAAAAGUUCAUAAACAUAAAAAGUUCGUCUCCUCUCUCCCACCCCCAAAUAUCUUGAUCCCUAAAUGUAACUAUCAAAAAAACAAAGUUCCUUGGGAAAUUUGCUGUUAAUAAACAAAGCAGAUAGACAGAUACAUAUAGAUAAAAUGAUAUCAUGCUCUUCAUAUUAUUCUGCAACUUGUUUUUCACUUGAGCAAUCAGAAUAUACAGAUCUAUUUUUAUCUGGUGGUCUGAAUUGAAGGACGCUCACAUGGCUUUGACUGUCUUUUCCUGCUGGAGAUGUGUGGGUGAGACAAAGGCAUAGAAGCCACUGGUCCUCUAACUUUACCUGGAGGGCAUGUUCAAGUGAGAUUACUACUCACAUCCUCCCCAUUCCGC